AAGGGUGAAAAGGUGAGGUAAGAGCUCACCGUGCCGCACCGUGAGGUCGGUAGCUAGGUAAACCUCGUGGGGUGCAAAUUCACGUAGGGCAGUAUUCGCCGCUUGUCGAGACGCUGUCGGGUAGAAUGCACCAGAUAAAUGAUUGCCAAAUCCGCCAACUGGCGGAGGAACAGAAUCCGGCUUACAGGCUUUUC
rnacentral:RNase_P_RNA from 16 species